rnacentral:rRNA from 1 species
CCUACGGGUGGCUGCAGUGGGGAAUCUUGCGCAAUGGGCGAAAGCCUGACGCAGCGACGCCGCGUGAGGGAUGAAGGUCUUCGGAUCGUACACCUCUGUCAGCAGGGAAGAACGGUCACUGUGCUAAUCAGCAGUGAAUUGACGGUACCUGCAAAGGAAGCACCGGCUACCUCCGUGCCAGCAGCCGCGGUAAUACGGAGGGUGCGAGCGUUAGUCGGAAUUACUGGGCGUAAAGCGCUCGUAGGCGGUAUGUCAAGUCAAGGGUGAAAUCCCCGCGCUCAACGUGGGAACUGCCUGUGAAACGGGCAAACUGGAGUGUGUGGGAGGAUAGUGGAAUUCCAGGUGUAGGAGUGAAAUCCGUAGAUAUCUGGAGGAACAUCAGUGGCGAAGGCGACUAUCUGGCACAUAACUGACGCUGAGGCACGAAAGCGUGGGGAGCAAAUAGGAUUAGAUACCCCUGUAGC